AAAGAAGGGGUCACAAUUUUAUAUACUACGCGUAUAUAAUUUAAGUAAUGCACACAUUCAGCUAGCAUGUCUUGCUGCUGCUGCUGCUGCUGCUAUUUUACGAAGUGGUAAGAGCAAAUCGAUCGAUCGUGUCCUCGAUCAAAAGGUGUCGCGCAGGAAAGACAGCAGGUUUCAAUCCGGCAUCCACUCGUAGUAUCCGUAUUCACAAGUAGAAGGUGUAACAAAUAAGAAAGGAUAAAAAAGAAAAACUCAUGCGAAGCAACUCACCUUUGUUCCAAGGAAUCCGUUCGAUUGGACUUGUAGCCGCUAUCGUUGAGACUCCCUUCGUGUCUCAAGGAGGGCAACGAGUCCCAUGGAGAUUCUCUUUUAUGACUCGAAUAACCUGGAUUUAUUGAACUGGAUGCACCUGAACCGAGCGUCGAACUUCCGGAUUGCCAACCAUCCGAAUGCCUAAACCACUGAGCACGUGCCGAUUCCCCGAUACAGCUGGCGCAUCUUAAAUAUUCAAACGGAACGUUUCCACUUUAACGACGACACGAACGGCAAAAUGAUGGUUCAUUUUUCGUUCUCACAUAUUUUACAAUAAAAUGUAACGAUCAUUUCUUUCUCGUUAAA